rnacentral:piRNA from 1 species
UGCUUGCAUCCAACUGCGGUGAGCUAAGC